AGUGAACGCUGGCGGUAGGCCUAACACAUGCAAGUCGAACGGCAGCACAGUAAGAGCUUGCUCUUACGGGUGGCGAGUGGCGGACGGGUGAGGAAUACAUCGGAAUCUACUUUUUCGUGGGGGAUAACGUAGGGAAACUUACGCUAAUACCGCAUACGACCUACGGGUGAAAGCAGGGGAUCUUCGGACCUUGCGCGAUUGAAUGAGCCGAUGUCGGAUUAGCUAGUUGGCGGGGUAAAGGCCCACCAAGGCGACGAUCCGUAGCUGGUCUGAGAGGAUGAUCAGCCACACUGGAACUGGGACACGGUCCAGAGUCCUACGGGAGGCAGCAGUGGGGAAUAUUGGACAAUGGGCGCAAGCCUGAUCCAGCCAUACCGCGUGGGUUAAGAAGGCCUUCGGGUUGUAAAGCCCUUUUGUUGGGAAAGAAAAGCAGCAGGUUAAUACCCCGCUGUUCUGACGGUACCCAAAGAAUAAGCACCGGCUAACUUCGUG
rnacentral:rRNA from 1 species